GACGAACGCUGGCGGCGUGCUUAACACAUGCAAGUCGAACGGAAAGACCCUGCUUUUGUGGGGUGCUCGAGCGGCGAACGGGUGAGUAACACGUGAGUAACCUGCCCUUGACUUUGGGAUAACUUCAGGAAACUGGGGCUAAUACCGGAUAGGAGCUCCUGCUGCAUGGUGGGGGUUGGAAAGUUUCGGCGGUUGGGGAUGGACUCGCGGCUUAUCAGCUUGUUGGUGGGGUAGUGGCUUACCAAGACUUUGACGGGUAGCCGGCCUGAGAGGGUGACCGGCCACAUUGGGACUGAGAUACGGCCCAGACUCCUACGGGAGGCAGCAGUGGGGAAUAUUGCACAAUGGGCGGAAGCCUGAUGCAGCAACGCCGCGUGCGGGAUGACGGCCUUCGGGUUGUAAACCGCUUUCGCCUGUGACGAAGCGUGAGUGACGGUAAUGGGUAAAGAAGCACCGGCUAACUACGUG
rnacentral:rRNA from 1 species